GACAAACGCUGGCGGCGUACCUAAGACAUGCAAGUCGAACGGGCACUCUUCUUUCGGGAGGAGUCGCGAGUGGCGGAUGGGUGAGUAACGCGUAGGAACCUGUCACGGAGUGGGGGAUACCGCUGGGAAACCGGCGCUAAUACCGCAUGGGGUCAGAGAUGACCAAAGCAGCAAUGCGCUUUGUGAGGGGCCUGCGUCCGAUUAGCUAGUUGGUGGGGUAAGGGCCUACCAAGGCGACGAUCGGUAGCUGGUCUGAGAGGAUGGUCAGCCACACUGG
rnacentral:rRNA from 1 species